AUUGAACGCUGGCGGCAGGCCUAACACAUGCAAGUCGAACGAGUGGCGGACGGGUGAGUAAUGUCUGGGAAACUGCCCGAUGGAGGGGGAUAACUACUGGAAACGGUAGCUAAUACCGCAUACCAUCGGAUGUGCCCAGAUGGUAUUAGCUUGUAGGUGAGGUAACGGCUCACCUAGGCGACGAUCCCUAGCUGGUCUGAGAGGAUGACCAGCCACACUGGAAAUGAGACACGGUCCAGACUCCUACGGGAGGCAGCAGUGGGGAAUAUUGCACAAUGGGGGCAAGCCUGAUGCAGCCAUGCCGCGUGUAUGAAGAAGGCCUUCGGGUUGUAAAGUACUUGCAGCGGGGAGGCGUUACCCGCAGAAGAAGCACAGGCUAACUCAGUGCCAGCAGACGCGGUAAUAC
rnacentral:rRNA from 1 species